GGGAAACGCCCGGUCCCAUUCCGAACCCGGAAGCUAAGACCCACAGCGCCGAUGGUACUGCACCCGGGAGGGUGUGGGAGAGUAGGUCACCGCCGGAC
rnacentral:rRNA from 1 species